rnacentral:lncRNA from 1 species
GGACCCGUAGCAAGCCUAACAUACAACCUGUUAUACCUGAUAAAUCUCAUACAUGAUCAUACAUAUACAUAAAAACUUAAACUUUUUCAUUCACCAAGCUCAACCUGUGCAUGCACUAACUGAAUACAUAAAAACUCCCAUACUAGAGCCCUCAUCAAAUGCUCUAAUUGGGUCAACAUAACAUAUGCUAAGCUUGGUUCAACAUAAUUUAAC